CUGGAGCUUGUUCACUUUGUUCGUGGGAACAUUUCCACCAAACAGUGCCCAUCUAAGUCGUAUAGAACUGAACGCAGGUGAUGAUCAAAGUCCAGCGGUGUUCGGGACUUUCUGUGUCCUAUUUUAGUUCCAGGAGAUUGAUGCCCAAACACCGCUGCCUGCGUUCGUGUUAACAAGAUGGCCGCCUUGUGGUCGUUCAUACGAAAUGCGGUCACCCAAACAUACAAUUAGAACACUACGGUGGAACUAGUAACAAGGUGUCAAUUGGGCUUAACAAGCUCCCAGGUGGUCUCUGGUUCGUGCGGUUUUUCGGUUCCUGAACAACAUAGUCCCAAAUCACACGAACAGAGCCUUUUUCAGUGUAUUUUGCAUGGCCCAUAAUCUUGGGACAGG